GAUGAACGCUGGCGGCGUGCCUAAUACAUGCAAGUCGAGCGAACAGAUGAGAAGCUUGCUUCUCUGAUGUUAGCGGCGGACGGGUGAGUAACACGUGGGUAACCUACCUAUAAGACUGGGAUAACUCCGGGAAACCGGGGCUAAUACCGGAUAAUAUUUUGAACCGUAUGGUUCAAUAGUGAAAGACGGUUUCGGCUGUCACUUAUAUAUGGACCCGCGCCGUAUUAGCUAGUUGGUAAGGUAACGGCUUACCAAGGCGACGAUACGUAGCCGACCUGAGAGGGUGAUCGGCCACACUGGAACUGAGACGCGGUCCAGACUCCUACGGGAGGCAGCAGUAGGGAAUCUUCCGCAAUGGGCGAAAGCCUGACGGAGCAACGCCGCGUGAGUGAUGAAGGUCUUCGGAUCGUAAAACUCUGUUGUUAGGGAAGAACAAAUUUGUUAGUAACUGAACAAGUCUUGACGGUACCUAACCAGAAAGCCACGGCUAACUACGUGCCAGCAGCCGCGGUAA
rnacentral:rRNA from 1 species